UUACGGCCACAUCACGUUGAAUCACCGGUUCCCCUAGGAUCACCGAAGUUAAACAACGUCGAACCUGGUCAGUACUUAGAUGGGUGACCGCUUGGGAAUACCAGGUAUUGUAAG